GGAUUACGUUUUCUAAAAAGUUAGCUCUUUGGACCCCAUUGGAAACGGAUAAAAGAAGCAGAAAAAAUAAAAGUGUCUGAGUGUCAAAAAAAUGUUCUUCAGUUCCAGAAUUUUGGCUUCUUAUGCACAGUCGAGAAGUCUGACAGAAGCGGAGAUGCACUUAUUGUUAGAUGAAGCAAACAACAAUGAAGAAAUAUAUGAAUUCCAUAUGACUGAAUAAAUAUGAUGAAAGGAAUAAGCAAACGUUAUACUCUCAUCAUGUAAUCAGAGUAAGAAUCAAUGCUUUAUUUUGUCAGUUCCGUCACCUAUGACUGAUUACAUUCACCGAGGAAGCUGUUGUAUAAGUGAUAUCAGUACCGAGAAAAUGUGGUACUUCAUUAUAUGUGAAUAAAGUAAAUGAUGCAGAAUUUUUUGAGAGCAGUUGACUAAAGAUAUUAUCCAGACAGGAGCGAGAAGAAAGUGCAAAUUUUGUGACAAGCUGACUCGAGAAAUCGAUAGAGAUUAUCGAGUUUUUAAAAAUUGUGCUCAUGCCUAACAAAGUGUUAUUUCGCAGAC